AGGAGGCAGCAGUGAGGAAUAUUGCGCAAUGGGCGAAAGCCUGACGCAGCAACGCCGCGUGGGUGAAGAAGGUCUUCGGAUUGUAAAGCCCUGUCUUUUUGGACGAAGUGCUUUCAGGUAAGUAGUCUGAAAGAGUGACGGUACAAGAGGAGGAAGCCCCGGCUAACUACGUGCCAGCAGCCGCGGUAAUACGUAGGGGGCGAGCGUUGCCCGGAAUUACUGGGCGUAAAGCGCGUGUAGGCGGGUUUAUAAGUCGGGUGUGAAAACUCUGGGCUCAACCCAGAGACUGCAUCCGAAACUGUAGAUCUUGAGGGCGGGAGAGGAAAGUGGAAUUCCUAGUGUAGCGGUGAAAUGCGUAGAUAUUAGGAGGAACACCAGUGGCGAAGGCGGCUUUCUGGCCCGAACCUGACGCUGAGACGCGAAAGCGUGGGGAGCAAACAGGAUUAGAUACCCCUGU
rnacentral:rRNA from 1 species